ensembl:lncRNA
AGAGACUGAAAAGAGCUUUGCCUGGCCAAAAAUAUAUUUAAGGAAUAUGACUGAGCAACCCAAUUAUCAAGAGUGGAGCUGAGAAGACAGAAUCAGGCCUGUCCUGAUGUGAGUGUUGGGAGCUUCCAUUUCCAACUCUAGGGAAAGUAGACCAAGGAUGAUGUCAUGGAAAGGAACCAGGAAUCAUGACAAAUAUACACUCAGGACCUGUA